AUAAUGGGUCCAGGGACUGUACAUCAACAUUACAGAGGUACAUAAUGGGUCCAGGGACUGUACAUCAACAUUACAGAGGUACAUAAUGGGUCCAGGGACUGUACAUCAACAUUACAGAGGUACAUAAUGGGUCCAGGGACUGUACAUCAACAUUACAGAGGUACAUAAUGGGUCCAGGGACUGUACUUCAACAUUACAGAGGUACAUAAUGGCUCCAGGGACUGUACCUCAACAUUACAGAGGUACAUAAUGGGUCCAGGGACUGUACAUCAACAUUACAGAGGUACAUAAUGGCUCCAGGGACUGUACUUAAACAUUACAGAGGUACAUAAUGGGUCCAGGGACUGUACAUCAACAUUGCAGAGGUACAUAAUGGGUCCAGGGACUGUACUUCAACAUUACAGAGGUACAUAAUGGGUCCAGGGACUGUACUUCAACAUUACAGAGGUACAUAAUGGGUCCAGGGACUGUACUUCAACAUUACAGAGGUACAUAAUGGGUCCAGGGAUUGGACCGCAAAGUUUUGAUAGC